GAUGAAGAACGUAGCGAACUGCGAUAAGUAAUGUGAAUUGCAGAAUUCAGUGAAUCAUCGAGUCUUUGAACGCACAUUGCGCCCCCUGGCAUUCCGGGGGGCAUGCCUGUCCGAGCGUCAUUGCUGCCCUUCAAGCCCGGCUUGUGUGUUGGGUCGUCGUCCCCCCCGGGGGACGGGCCCGAAAGGCAUCGGCGGCACCGCGUCCGGUCCUCGAGCGUAUGGGGCUUUGUCACCCGCUCGAUUAGGGCCGGCCGGGCGCCAGCCGGCGUCUCCAACCUUCUAUUUUACCAGGUUGACCUCGGAUCAGGUAGGGAUACCCGCUGAACUUAAGCAUAUCAAUAAGCGGAGGA
rnacentral:misc_RNA from 1 species